rnacentral:rRNA from 1 species
GACGAACGCUGGCGGCGUGGAUUAGGCAUGCAAGUCGAACGGUAUCAUCCUUUCGGGGGUGAGAGAGUGGCGAACUGGUGAGUAACACGUAGGUUAUCUACCCUCAAGACGGGGACAACCCAGGGAAACUUGGGCUAAUACCGGAUGUGAGCAACUUUUAGUUGUUUGAAAGGUGGCGUAAGCUGUCGCUUGGGGAUGAGCCUGCGUCCUAUUAGUUAGUUGGUGAGGUAACGGCUCACCUAGGCAAUGAUAGGUAGGCGGCCUUAACGGGUGGUCGCCCACACUGGGAUUGAGAUACGGCUCAGACUCCUACGGGAGGCAGCAGUCGAGAAUAGUCUACAAUGGUCGGAAGACUGAUAGUGCGACGCCGCGUGAACGAUGAAUCCCUUCGGGGUGUAAAGUUCUUUUAUAUGUGAGCAGUGCUUCUUAUAUUAACAGUAUGGGGAGAGAGAUAUUAGCAUAUGAAUAAGCAACGGCUAACUCCGUGCCAGCAGCCGC